CAAUGUAAUCAUUAGAAAAGUCACGUUAAGGAGGAUUUUUAUACUUUCUUUUAUAUUAAUUUUUUUAAUUAUAUAUAAGCCAACUGAUAUAUCAAACCUCGUUAUAUUAUGCCCUUUUAUUAAUAAUAGUAAUUUUCUUAUGUCUAGUUUAUUAUUUUUCAAGAUUUGCUUUAUCAACUUUCGCACAUCACCUUGUUGUUUGGACCCCAACACCCAUCAACGUGAUUAGUGAGAUUUAAACUAUACACUUAAAAAUUGCAACUAUUUAGGCCAACACUAAUUUUGUUCAUUAAAGUACUUUCCAAAUCCAAUAUUUUUUUUAUACUAAAAUAAGAGAAGAAAGGGACCAGCCGGCCAAGAAUGUCCAAACCCUACCAAACAAACAAAGCAAUUUUUUUUUUACCUUUGUUCUAUAGCUCUAUAUAAAUUGAAUCACAUAUUUUCAUGUGUCCUAAAACUUUUUUUUUUCCUCAACAAAAAGAAAAAGUCAAUGAAGAGCAAGUUCUUUCAUUGUUUUCGUCCCAUUGUUGAGGAUCAACCUACUUCAUGUAUUAUCACAAAAAGAAGUGAGCAAAAUGAUCAAUUGUUUGAAUCGAAAAGUAGUAGGGGAAAUAGAAGAGACAAGUUCUUCAAAGGAUUAAAUGGUCAAUCAAGCAAGAAAAAUGAAAUUACUUCAAUUGGCACCUUAUGCAAGGGAAAUAAGUCAUCAAAAAAAUAUUCAUACAACCAUAGAGAAUCCUCAAGUGCUUCAACAUCAUGCCAUGAUGAAAACAAGAAAUCUAGCACAAGUGUUCAUUUGAUUAUUUUCACACUAUUUGUGACUAUUUAUUUUGGUAGGGUUUUUGCUAUAUUUUUAACAUUAUUAUGGAUUAUAUUGUUCUCCAUAAUCCCCAAGUCAAUU